CCUCCUGCUCGCUCCAGUAUGUAAAUACGUAAUAGAAGCCAAAUAUGGAGCAGCUCAAGGAUCCGACUUCGGGGGGGGGGGGGGGGGAGGGCAGGGAAGUCAGCUGAUUGUGAUUCCCAAGUGCCCUCGGUGGCCCCGUCGCGCGUCUGGGAGGACUCACUGCCCCCUCGCAGUUAACCCUCCAGCCCGCGUCUCCCCCCGCGGAACCCAACGCUGGGCCCGCGCCUCCUUCCUUGGCUUGCAACUCGGGAACGUUGUCAGGCUUCCCCAGCUUGCACCGGCGGCCUUCCCCUUUCCCGCCGGCACAAGCUGGGGGCUCCAGACCCUCCUUCCUGAUUCUGCAGACCUAGCGAUCCGCAGCGGGGAAUCGAACCUGUCAGCUGCAGCCCGGGUAGCCAGCCUGCUCACCCCUCUCGCACCCAACCCGGGAGUCAUUCCUUUCAUCGGAAGUGAGGCUUUUGGGAAUCCAAUGCGACGGAACCUCCGUUGGUACCCGUGGUUAAAGUCAAACGUGAAGUCCACACCUGUGUCCCCCCCCCCCCCUACACCACCGCCAGGCGGAAGGGCGGCAUCCGAGGAGGAGAGUAGCUUCUGGUUUUUUUGCUGCAGGUGAUUCUCCAAGGCCGAAACAGGGCGGGAUCCAGAAGCCGCUGUGUUCUGUUCCCCAGCCUCAGAGCUGAUUGGAGGUAACCGGCUCCGGGAGGUAGGAGCUGCUGAGGAAAGUCCGUGGUCAAUGCCAGUUUGCCUGUAAACACAACAACAUACAACUGAACGAUGGAGUACAGAGAAGAGAAGGGGACAGUCUGGGCUACUGAUUGCAGCUGCUUCCCAAACCAAUGCUCAUGACAGCGUGCUGCGAAGUAUGAAGACAGGGCAGCCAGCGCCGCUCACACUGACACUGAGUGUCACUCACUGUAAGCAUUUAGCAGUGACUAUCAACCUGCACCUACCUACUGAACGCACAGCUGUGCUGGGAAGUGUGCAAAAUAUAGGUGUUCAGGACAGCUCCUCCCCGGGGGAUCAAGCAAAUAAUAAGUCUCUGCCUUAUCAGUGGAGGCUAUGACACUUGGUCCAGGAAGUGGACUCCCGAGCCAUGCUUCCUAGUGCCUUGAUCUUUGGUUUCCGGACAAUAGGAAACACACAGCACACAGACUGCACCCUCUUUGGAGAACACAUUGAAGAAAUGGACAUUUCUGUUGCUACAUCGGUGAGGAACAGAAGGGAAAAGACUGGUAAUCCAAUAGCAAAUUCUGGAGAAAAAGAAUUCACAGGUCAUUGUCCCUGAAUACUUACGGUGCUUUAUCUGCCAAAUACGUGGGUCGCUGCUGAAGCGGCUUGGCUUGAAUU